rnacentral:lncRNA from 1 species
GAUCCUGUGAUGUAUGUUGUCCAUAAUCCCAUAAAUUUGUACACAUUCACCCUCAUGAGGCAGUCUUGGACUUGCUCCACUCCUACUGUGGUACGUUCAGGGACAUGAGAAGCAUGGGAAGACUGAAUGUCAUUGAAGAUUGAGGCAGAGAACUUGCUCAGGCACAGUCCCCUUCUGUUCCCAAUCUCCCCAACAAUACCCGGAGGAAGACUCCUGCUGAUUCCCUUCUGGGGAGCAGGAGCUGCCACAUGGACAUCAACACACAGACAUCUUCCUUCCAUUGCCCGUCCUUCAAAUCCUGGAAAACUGCAUGGUGGGUUGCUCUGGAAAUGUGC